GAACCUGCAAAUAAUUGGGUUUGUGUGCUAAUCCCUUAAUGUGUAAUGCCUGAUUGUCAUAUUAAGCCCUCCAUUAAACAUCAACAAGUUUCUGCUGUUAUAUUUCUGUUAUAGGUUAAAUAAACAUUUAUGGUUUGUUGGUUGUUUUCCUUUUUUCACAUGGAAGUUUAAAUGCAACAUCAAAAAGGCAAAUAAGAGAAAAAAGAAAAGAAAAAAGCAUUUAAAGUACUUUAUUGCAAAUCCAUGCACAUAGACAGGUCUAGUCUAAGAAAGCAGCUGGCUGUAGUCCACUACCUUUUUGGUGCAUCAUUAACAUGUUUUAAAUGCAGAGUCAUGCUGCCUUUUGAAUCUUCAAACAGGCUGUCCAUCUCACCCUCCUUACAGCAUCACACCCACUACCCACAGUCUUUAAAAUGUUACUAAAGAAGCUUAACAGCCCAUUCCAAAAAGCUUGCAUGGGGCAUUUGUACUCCAUAAAAACACGAGAAGUACCAGUACUUUACUGGAAUAUACACCAACAGUUUACGGAGCUGUUUAGGUGGAUAAGGAGGUGUGCGCAGGGAGACGUUCCCUUUCCAGAGCUGCGGUUACAGCUGACUUCAGUCUACUGAUCAGACCUGAAGAAUAUUAGAUGCAACCAGCAUCAAUCAUUGCCAGAUGAUUAACCCUGUCAGCCUCCCAGCAGCUGUGUGUCUGACACUGGGACCACGAUGGGAAUUCCACCCAGAGCAGCUUCUCCACUCCUGAACAGACCCAGGUGUGGUGGAGAGCUUCUGAGCAGCUUCCAUCUGAAUGACAGGACAAGCUCUAUGAGCUGAUCCAGGCUAAAUGAACCCAAGUAAUCUGCUGUCAAGACUGUGUAGUAAAGCUUAUUGCUACACGUGUGCUGCUGCUGCAAGCUUGGAGCUAGAUUACAUCAUGGCAUCAUGAAGGAGACUACUGAUUCUGGUCCAGUUACACUUGGUGACGUGUGAGCUGACUCACCUGGGCACUCAGCAAAAUAUGGAUGCUACACCAUGAGGCAGGCACACGUUAAUACUCUAUAAGAGCACAUAAGCAUGAUGUCCUCACACACCUGUAACCUAUCAGCUCAUCUGGCAGAAUAGAGAGAAGAGACAACACCACAUCUCCUGUUCCUGGAAAGCCUUCGGCCAUCCUUCGAUGACUGAGAAACUCCAUCAGCUCUGUCUCCUGUCUGCCUACAAUUAUUAUAAUAAAUAUUGUGUUUGACAA